GAUGAACGCUGGCGGCGUGCCUAAUACAUGCAAGUCGAGCGAACGGACGAGAAGCUUGCUUCUCUGAUGUUAGCGGCGGACGGGUGAGUAAUACGUGGAUAACCUACCUAUAAGACUGGGAUAACUUCGGGAAACCGGAGCUAAUACCGGAUAAUAUUUUGAACCGCAUGGUUCAAAAGUGAAAGACGGUCUUGCUGUCACUUAUAGAUGGAUCCGCGCUGCAUUAGCUAGUUGGUAAGGUAACGGCUUACCAAGGCAACGAUGCAUAGCCGACCUGAGAGGGUGAUCGGCCACACUGGAACUGAGACACGGUCCAGACUCCUACGGGAGGCAGCAGUAGGGAAUCUUCCGCAAUGGGCGAAAGCCUGACGGAGCAACGCCGCGUGAGUGAUGAAGGUCUUCGGAUCGUAAAACUCUGUUAUUAGGGAAGAACAUAUGUGUAAGUAACUGUGCACAUCUUGACGGUACCUAAUCAGAAAGCCACGGCUAACUACGUGCCAGCAGCCGCGGUAAUACGUAGGUGGCAAGCGUUAUCCGGAAUUAUUGGGCGUAAAGCGCGCGUAGGCGGUUUUUUAAGUCUGAUGUGAAAGCCCACGGCUCAACCGUGGAGGGUCAUUGGAAACUGGAAAACUUGAGUGCAGAAGAGGAAAGUGGAAUUCCAUGUGUAGCGGUGAAAUGCGCAGAGAUAUGGAGGAACACCAGUGGCGAAGGCGACUUUCUGGUCUGUAACUGACGCUGAUGUGCGAAAGCGUGGGGAUCAAACAGGAUUAGAUACCCUGGUAGUCCACGCCGUAAACGAUGAGUGCUAAGUGUUAGGGGGUUUCCGCCCCUUAGUGCUGCAGCUAACGCAUUAAGCACUCCGCCUGGGGAGUACGACCGCAAGGUUGAAACUCAAAGGAAUUGACGGGGACCCGCACAAGCGGUGGAGCAUGUGGUUUAAUUCGAAGCAACGCGAAGAACCUUACCAAAUCUUGACAUCCUUUGACAACUCUAGAGAUAGAGCCUUCCCCUUCGGGGGACAAAGUGACAGGUGGUGCAUGGUUGUCGUCAGCUCGUGUCGUGAGAUGUUGGGUUAAGUCCCGCAACGAGCGCAACCCUUAAGCUUAGUUGCCAUCAUUAAGUUGGGCACUCUAAGUUGACUGCCGGUGACAAACCGGAGGAAGGUGGGGAUGACGUCAAAUCAUCAUGCCCCUUAUGAUUUGGGCUACACACGUGCUACAAUGGACAAUACAAAGGGCAGCGAAACCGCGAGGUCAAGCAAAUCCCAUAAAGUUGUUCUCAGUUCGGAUUGUAGUCUGCAACUCGACUACAUGAAGCUGGAAUCGCUAGUAAUCGUAGAUCAGCAUGCUACGGUGAAUACGUUCCCGGGUCU
rnacentral:rRNA from 1 species